UUCACAAUUCUUUCUGUUGUUGUUUCGACAUGUGGCUGUAACAGAUUAGCAGAGGUCAUCAGAAAGUAAGAAAGAAUUCAAAUACAAAGACAGACUUAUUGAAUGUUCAUUUUUUGGGAUCUACUGAAAGAGGAUCUGCAAGUCUUGGACAGAGGACAUGAUGGGUCAUCCUGCAAAGAUGUCAACUGUAGAAGAGCAGCAGCAGUGUUUAGAGACGUGCAAAGAUCCAGUGUCUCUCAGCUUGGACACACUCAGAGGACAACAUGCAAGCAAGACAUGUCCACUUGGCACAAGGAGAGCAUCUUUAGAACUACUAACAGGGAUCAACUUUGUUUUGGAGACAAAGGAGGACAACCUGGGACAAAAUAAGAGAACAAACAUUAAAAAUUCGGAAUGAAGAUGAGAGAAAAUACACAUCAAGAUGAACAAGCAUUGUGGAGAAAGAAUGUGCAGGAAGGGAAUGUUGAACAAUUAAAUGUUUACUGAAGCUGGACAUGUUAAAAAGUGUAAAUAGAGCUGAUGUGGUACAAGAACUGGACUUCUAGGUUCAAAGUAGUCAACCUGGGACUUUCAGUACAGAUCAAAAGUUUGGUUGAAAAUGAAACGUUCAUUAAAUUAAUUCUUGUUUCUGGUGAUGGUUUUUAUAUUAGUAUUAUCUUGAUUUUGUAUGUACUUUGUCAUAUUUUAUUCAGUAUGGUACUUUUUCAUCACUUACAAUAUUGUUUGUUUUUGGUACACUAAUGUAUAUAUUGUUGGCCAUUGGUUCUUUGUUUAUCUAUUUCUAUAUUGCUCUUUUUUUAUCUUUGGUAUGAACAUUAUUAUGUAAACACCAAGUUAUUGUUUUUUGUUGUUGCUAUUUUUGUAUUACAAAAUGUUUUUAUCGAUCAUGUUGUACUGCAUUGUAAUCUUUUGUUUUGUGAUUGUGAUGUUUUUUUUUUGGUGUAGACUAAUGGUGAUCCUUAAUAAACUGAACUAAACUUC